UAUGGCCAUAUCAUAUCAAAACGUUGGUUCCCACAAGAUCACUGAAGUUAAGCAACAUCAGGCCUGAUCAGUACCUAGAUGGAUGACUGCAUGGGAAUACCAGC